rnacentral:rRNA from 1 species
UUGAAGAGUUUGAUCAUGGCUCAGAUUGAACGCUGGCGGCAGGCCUAACACAUGCAAGUCGAACGGUAACAGGAAGAAGCUUGCUUCUUUGCUGACGAGUGGCGGACGGGUGAGUAAUGUCUGGGAAACUGCCUGAUGGAGGGGGAUAACUACUGGAAACGGUAGCUAAUACCGCAUAACGUCGCAAGACCAAAGAGGGGGACCUUCGGGCCUCUUGCCAUCGGAUGUGCCCAGAUGGGAUUAGCUUGUUGGUGGGGUAACGGCUCACCAAGGCGACGAUCCCUAGCUGGUCUGAGAGGAUGACCAGCCACACUGGAACUGAGACACGGUCCAGACUCCUACGGGAGGCAGCAGUGGGGAAUAUUGCACAAUGGGCGCAAGCCUGAUGCAGCCAUGCCGCGUGUAUGAAGAAGGCCUUCGGGUUGUAAAGUACUUUCAGCGGGGAGGAAGGGAGUAAAGUUAAUACCUUUGCUCAUUGACGUUACCCGCAGAAGAAGCACCGGCUAACUCCGUGCCAGCAGCCGCGGUAAUACGGAGGGUGCAAGCGUUAAUCGGAAUUACUGGGCGUAAAGCGCACGCAGGCGGUUUGUUAAGUCAGAUGUGAAAUCCCCGGGCUCAACCUUGGGAACUGCAUCUGAUACUGGCAAGCUUGAGUCUCGUAGAGGGGGGUAGAAUUCCAGGUGUAGCGGUGAAAUGCGUAGAGAUCUGGAGGAAUACCGGUGGCGAAGGCGGCCCCCUGGACGAAGACUGACGCUCAGGUGCGAAAGCGUGGGGAGCAAACAGGAUUAGAUACCCUGGUAGUCCACGCCGUAAACGAUGUCGACUUGGAGGUUGUGCCCUUGAGGCGUGGCUUCCGGAGCUAACGCGUUAAGUCGACCGCCUGGGGAGUACGGCCGCAAGGUUAAAACUCAAAUGAAUUGACGGGGGCCCGCACAAGCGGUGGAGCAUGUGGUUUAAUUCGAUGCAACGCGAAGAACCUUACCUGGUCUUGACAUCCACAGAACUUUCCAGAGAUGGAUUGGUGCCUUCGGGAACUGUGAGACAGGUGCUGCAUGGCUGUCGUCAGCUCGUGUUGUGAAAUGUUGGGUUAAGUCCCGCAACGAGCGCAACCCUUAUCCUUUGUUGCCAGCGGUCCGGCCGGGAACUCAAAGGAGACUGCCAGUGAUAAACUGGAGGAAGGUGGGGAUGACGUCAAGUCAUCAUGGCCCUUACGACCAGGGCUACACACGUGCUACAAUGGCGCAUACAAAGAGAAGCGACCUCGCGAGAGCAAGCGGACCUCAUAAAGUGCGUCGUAGUCCGGAUUGGAGUCUGCAACUCGACUCCAUGAAGUCGGAAUCGCUAGUAAUCGUGGAUCAGAAUGCCACGGUGAAUACGUUCCCGGGCCUUGUACACACCGCCCGUCACACCAUGGGAGUGGGUUGCAAAAGAAGUAGGUAGCUUAACCUUCGGGAGGGCGCUUACCACUUUGUGAUUCAUGACUGGGGUGAAGUCGUAACAAGGUAACCGUAGGGGAACCUGCGGUUGGAUCACCUCCUU